UUCAACAAAUGCGCUAACAUAUCCAUGAGACUCAAGGGCUGGGUGGCACAGGGAACUCCUGGAACUGUGAUUUACCUGGAUAAGACGCUGGGGAGAAGAGAACGGAAAAAGUGAGCCCUUUGGGAUCUUCUAUUAAGCAACAAAAAAACAGUAAGGAGGUGAAGUGGUUUGUAGGUGAAACUCCCAAGUAUUCAACCAUCAACCAUCAUUUUCAUCAGUCCUGUGGCUGCAGAUCUUUAGUAUGUUUCCGCUGGGGGCGUUAUGCUGUACGCAAGAUACUUUUUUAUUUAUUUAUUGAUCAGUAGUUAUGGAAGCACUCAACAACAUUUGGUACCUUUGGGCUGCCACACAUAUGUUGAUGUUUCCAGUGGAAGCCAGUUUUCUUCAUUGUUUAACACUUUCCUAUUGGGUUUUGUUUCCAGGACAACAUGAUGCGGAGCUACAAAUACACUCUUCUGACCUUUUUGCCUCUUAACCUGUAUGAACUGUUCCAGCAAGCAGCAAAUCUUUCUUCCUACUUAUUGUGGUCUUGCAGGCAGAUCUGCUCCUCCUUUGCAGCACUAAGCCACAAAGCCUUUGCUAUGUAGAAACAGCAGACAUCGAUGGGUAUCUUGUAGUGGGAAGAACCAAAAGGUAACUUGCAUUCUUUCAAGGGUGAGUUCCUUUGGAAAGGAGAGCGCCACCUUCUGGACACAGGCCACCUGCUCCUCCGAGAAACUGUGGUGCGAAAUAGCCUAUGGACUGGCCAUAUA